UAAACAGAUGAAAACAGGCCCCUGUGCUAAAUGCCCCAGAAUCAUACACUUCCGCUUUGAUUGUCAGUUAUCUGGGUAGCAACAAAUGAAAUGGUGAGAACGGAUGGGGCUCAAGCAUUUCAAAUACAGGUGCCAGUUCCAUUUUGUGUUUGUUUGUCCACAAUCGUUUUUUUAAUGCAGGGAGUGGUCACCUCUAAAACGUGUAAACACUGGUCAUGUUUGCUCUAAAUAAGGAGCAGUUCUCUAUUUGACACACAGACACACACCACACACAUAGACACACACAGUUUAUCUCCAUAUUUAUCUCCUCCCUUGUCUCUGUAGCCAGUUGCACCUGUGGGCUGGUAUGAGAUGAGGUGAGCGAUGCCAUAAAUACCUUUGUUUUGGGAUCUUUGUUUCCACCCCGGAGGACAAGAGACGGUGCACUUCACUGUUCAUCCAUCCAUGCUGGCUGUGUUUGUCCAAGUUAGUCGAACUUUGGUGACGUGUUCUGCGCAGGUUUGAAACGCGAUCAACGCUGUCUGCGAGACACAGCAUUGAAACCGUUUUGUUGGCUGUGUAGGCCUGGACAGAGUUAGCGAUAAGUGAAUUCGUCCAUAGUUGCCAAUAUAUCUUGGCUAAGUAGAAAGGGUUGGAAGCAAUUUUUCAACUAACCAGGGCCUUUGUAGCGUUAAUAUCAUCGUUAGAACCUUCUUACCAUGUAGCUUUAGUAGCCCAGGUGUUUCCCAUAGCUUCCGUUAGUAAAGCAGCUCUGAAAAACCUUUGCACAUCUCUGAGUGAUCCAGACCACCCGUAGAGCAGCCAAGGUGCACCGUUAGAUGCUUUUUUUGCCAUUCCGCGUCACUGUAUUCCUAGAGGAUCUCCGCUAAACAUAGAAUCAACAUGUUGAUUCUAUCUGUCUGACUGCGACUGUCACUAACUUUAGAACGAAGUUGACUACAAAUACAAAGUAUCCAAAGUAUUUGCAAUUGUUACAAACAAGUGAAGGAUAAAUGAAUGCUUCAAAUGAAGACUGAGAUGACUGCAUUAAAAGAUAUAUAGGCUGCAUGGGCCCAUAUAGGCUAUUUCAGUUAUACUGAAAUCUAUUUCAUGUUCAAUCCAUUAAGUUCCAUUUUGCUACUAGGCUACUGUCUGUAAAAAAACAUGUUUUGCCUCAAUGUGUUUCAUGAUAUGUGACAACAUGUGCGCAAUGACAUACCCAAUCUGUGAUUUUGUGCAUUAUUAUUAGGGAAGCAUAAUGAACCACCUCAAUAGCCUUUUUGCAGACAUAGGUGGUCAUUUCUCUCUAGGAGCUGAUCCGUCAUCACUAUUGUGGAAUAAUUCUAAUGUUAAGGUAAGAUUUGAAUGGACAAAGCUGACCCGAGAGCAGUGCUGGCUUUAAAAAAAAUCCUAUCAGUAAUGACACAUGGUCUAAUGACGCACUUAGUGAACGUUCUCAACGUCCCUGUUUGGGGAAACACUUCAAAAGCUGGCUCAUAAAUAACGUAAAUAAAAUGCAUCUGGUUACAUCGCAACUGGGAAACGAGGACCUACUUUCUUCGUUCGGGAGAAAGGUGUAUCUUAUCAAUGUCCAUGUUCAGUUGCAGGUGGUUCUCCAAAAACCAGAGAAGAUUCAGAAAGAUAGUAAAAAUCUAAGUUUGGUAUGGAGAGAGAAAUGCCUCAUGUGUUUGGUAUGGAGAGAGAAAUGCCUCAUGUGUUUGGUAUGGAGAGAGAAAUGCCUCAUGUGUUUGGUAUGGAGAGAGAAAUGCCUCAUGUGUUUGGUAUGGAGAGAGAAAUGCCUCAUGCAUGUGUUUGGUAUGGAGAGAGAAAUGCCUCAUGUGUUUUGGUAUGGAGAGAGAAAUGCCUCAUGUGUUUGGUAUGGAGAGAGAAAUGCCUCAUGUGUUUGGUAUGGAGAGAGAAAUGCCUCAUGUGUUUGGUAUGGAGAGAGAAAUGCCUCAUGUGUUUGGUAUGGAGAGAGAAAUGCCUCAUGUGUUUGGUAUGGAGAGAGAAAUGCCUCAUGUGUUUGGUAUGGAGAGAGAAAUGCCUCAUGUGUUUGGUAUGGAGAGAGAAAUGCCUCAUGUGUUUGGUAUGGAGAGAGAAAUGCCUCAUGUGUUUGGUAUGGAGAGAGAAAUGCCUCAUGUGUUUGGUAUGGAGAGAGAAAUGCCUCAUCUGUUUGGGUCUUUGUUUUGGUCGCACUGUGUGAUGCGCUGUCAUCUAUUUUUACACAUGGCCGUGGACGCCAUGGACGCCAUGGACGCGUCGCAUAGAAAUGACUAAUUCCUGCAAAGAUGUUGGGGAAUGCAAGAUGUCUGGCAGCUAUUAUGACGAUGGAACUCCUCACUUGGUGCAAAACGUGGAUUCUUUACAAACUUUUAAAAAUAUUCUCUGGUUUUGGGAGAACCACGUGCAACUGAACACAGACAUUUAUAAGAUAGACUUUACUUCUGAAUCAAGAAUGAAGAAAGUAUUAGCAAAACAUUACUUACUGUUAGUUUGAAUCCCUUAUAUUAGGUAGGUAGGAUAAAAAAAAAAAAGUUGAGUCUGCCCGAAGCGAAUGAGCUGGUAUUCAGGCAAAAGAUUUGGUGUUGCUUUGGCAGUCAAACUAGUUGAAUUUUCUUUGUUAUAUGUUUUGUUUGUAUACUUGUCUUAUUUUGUUACCACUUCCCCAGAGCCUUCCAGGGCUUGUUGUCUUUUUGGGGGUUAUUUUGGUUAGAGAGCAGUGGCAAGUCUUAAGAAUUAAUGUGUGUGCUUUAGCAUGCUAAUUAUCACAAGUGUGUUAUCUUUUAAAUAAUGUUUCAUAUUGAGUAUGCUAUCUAACAAAGAAUGUUUCAUAUUGAGUAUGCUAUCUAACAAAGAAUGUUCCAUAUUGAGUAUGCUAUCUAACAAAGACUGUUUCAUCAGGUCUUACAAAAUAUUUUUAAUCACAAGUGUAAUAUCUUACAAUGAUUGUGAAUAUACUCUAUCUAAGUUUGCAUGAUAUUCUCCUUGAAGUGUUUUACAUGCAAGUUUGAGUCUUGGAGAUUUGGUAGUAUUUCUUGCCCUGCUGUCAAUCCAUUGUUUGUGCCCUCUAUGUUAAUAAACCUUGGCACAUUGGUUAA